rnacentral:rRNA from 1 species
GAUGAACGCUGGCGGCGUGCCUAAUACAUGCAAGUCGAGCGAACGGACGAGAAGCUUGCUUCUCUGAUGUUAGCGGCGGACGGGUGAGUAACACGUGGAUAACCUACCUAUAAGACUGGGAUAAAUUCGGGAAACCGGAGCUAAUACCGGAUGAUAUUUUGAACCGCAUGGUUCAAAAGUGAAAGACGGUCUUGCUGUCACUUAUAGAUGGAUCCGCGCUGCAUUAGCUAGUUGGUAAUGUAACGGCUUACCAAGGCAACGAUGCAUAGCCGACCUGAGAGGGUGAUCCGCCACACUGGAACUGAGACACGGUCCAGACUCCUACGGGAGGCAGCAGUAGGGAAUCUUCCGAAAUGGGCGAAAGCCUGACGGAGCAACGCAGCGUGAGUGAUGAAGGUCUUCGGAUCGUAAAACUCUGUUAUUAGGGAAGAACAUAUGUGUAAGUAACUGUGCACAUCUUGACGGUACCUAAUCAGAAAGCCACGGCUAACUACGUG